rnacentral:rRNA from 1 species
CCUACGGGUGGCAGCAGUAGGGAAUAUUGCUCAAUGGGGGAAACCCUGAAGCAGCAAAGCCGCGUGGAGGAUGAAGGCUUUCGGAUUGUAAACUCCUUUUGUUAGAGAAGAUAAUGACGGUAUCUAACGAAUAAGCACAGGCUAACUCCGUGCCAGCAGCCGCGGUAAUACGGAGGGUGCAAGCGUUACUCGGAAUCACUGGGCGUAAAGAGCGCGUAGGCGGGAUAGCAAGUCAGAUGUGAAAUCCUAGGGCUUAACCAUAGAACUGAGUUUGAAACUGGUAUUCUUGAGUAUGGGAGAGGUAGGUGGAAUGCUUGGUGUAGGGGUAAAAUCCGUAGAGAUCAAGAGGAAUACUCAUUGCGAAGGCGGCCUGCUGGAACAUAACUGACGCUGAGGCACGAAAGCGUGGGGAUCAAACAGGAUUAGAUACCCUAGUAGUC